UUGCUUUUGGGUCUGGUUUCAAGUGUAACAGUGCGGUGUGGAGGGCGCUCAAGACUGUGAAUCCUUUGAAGGAGAAGAAUCCGUGGAUGGACGAGAUCGAUAACUUCCCGGUCGAUGUUCCGAGGGUGUCUGCAAUCUGAUCAAUCUUUGAGGUAAGCAAAUUCACUGAGUUGAUUGAAGACUUGUGGUGAUUUAUUAGGUUUGUUAUGUUUUUACUCUUAUCAUUUGUUGGAGGGAAAUUGUG
rnacentral:misc_RNA from 1 species